UACCCAAGCAAAAAUCAGUUUGACGACUCAACGAGUCCAGUCACAAAGUGACGACUCAGUGAGAACGAAGUCUAGCUGACUAGCUAGAACCUUGGUCAAAGGGAGAAAUGAAGUUUACUGUCAGCAACUGUGACAACGUGCCACACCCUACAACUUUCACUAGCUCUAAUUCUGUUCUCUUACAACAUCAUUCUAUCGCUAUCUGUAAUUACUACUAAACGAUGAAGAGGACACAAACACAAACUUCACUUCGCAUGUUUUUGGAUUUAUCAUAACCUGCCCGUCAAGACAAGGUAUUGUAAUGUAAUGAAAAAGGAAUUCUUCACCAAGAAAGACAAUGCAACAACGCUCAUUUUAUGAAUUUCUCAGCUGGAAGUCAAAAUAGAUGGCGGUGUAGUAUUCGUGGAUGCAGACAAGAAAAAGAACUAAAAACAGUAGUAAAAGUGCAAUUUGAAAGUUAACCUUGAACAAACAUUUCAAAUGAGGUUGUAGUGACGUCAUUUGGCGCCAAAAUACAGUCGCCAUUACUGCGUUUUCAUCCACGCAUGCGCAGGGAAUAGUUCCGGAAGGAACACAGGAAGAGUCCCAUGCGCAUGCGUGGAAUUCAACAUCUAAAAGUUCCCGCUCUUUUCACUCUCUUUUUCUCGCCGGCCGGCGAAGAGGUAACACAGGUCCAACAGAGCUCUCUCACAUGAGCAUGGUCAUGUCAAACUGUCUCUCCAACAUUCCAACUCUGGGGACAGCUUUCAUUCCAACAUUCCGGCGUCUCAGCAACCAUGCCUAUUUUCCUCCAUAAAUAAAUAUUGUUAUGUUUCUGGUUUA